rnacentral:tRNA from 1 species
UGCAUCGGCCGGGAAUAGAACCCGGGACGCCCGCGUGGCAGACGAGCAUUCUACCACUGAACCACCGAUGG